UAAAUAAAUAUACGACAUUAUUACACAAAUUGACUAAGUCCCACAGUAAGUUCAAUAAGACUUGUGUUGAGGGUACUUAGACAACGAUAUAUAUAAUAUAAUAUAUAAAUAUUUAUAAAUACUUAAAUACAUAGAAAACACCCAUGACUCAGGAACAAAUAUCCAUGCUCAUCACACGAAUAAAUGCCCUUACCAGGAUUUGAACCCGGGACCAUCGGCUUCAUAGGCAGGGUCACUACUCCACCGUGCGCAAGAGAGUUUUGCGUUUUGAAUUAAGAUAUCUUUUUUAUCUGUGUAUUAUGGUACCAUCGGGCUGAUCUGAUGAUGAAGACAGGAGGUGGUCAUAGGAACUCUGUGAUAAAACAACGCAAUCUAAUAGUGUUUGGGGUUGUUAGAAUUAUCUUCCUGAUUAUUAGUUGCCUGUGGAAAAAAAUACAGUCAGCAUCAAAAGUAGCGGAUCAAACAAGGUUUCAAAAGUAUCUACCAUUCUGUAACAGCUUAACAAAAUGUUAUGGUUUUAUAUGUAGAACAAUUAAGACGGUAAAAGAUAUACUUUUGAAUGUAAAUUUUAGAGAUUAAUCUAUAUUUGGAAAAGUUUUCCAGAAUAUCAGAUACUUUUGGCGCGUUGUUUCAUCCGCUACUAUUGAUGCUGACUGUACUAAAAGUGAAAUUUUUGUCAAAACUUAUUUUCUUCCCAAAUGUGAUGAUAAAUAUUCUGUAACACGGGAGGUACUUAAAAUAUAAAUUGGACACUCGAGACAUAAAUGAACACCAUCAGGUGUCUAUUUAAAUAGGUUAUCUAUGAACUCUCGUUUAUCAUUUUCCUUAUGCACUAAUUAUUUUCCUGUAUAUUUUAAGACAACACCCGAAGGUUUAAAGUUGAUUUUGGACUAUUGCCGCAAAAGCACAACAAACGAGACUUGUGCCAUGCUUUGUUACUACGAGACAAUUGGAAUUAUAGAUGAGGACGGUUGGUACGUGGAGAGUAAACUGACAGGAUUUAUAAAGAUUGCCAUAUUACCUAGACUACCUACAAGAUUAUACGAACUAGAAACUCUAUUCCACCAACUCGCUAAAAAAUGCAACCGUGCAAACAAGCAUUUUACCAAGGGCUGCCAGCGAAUUAGAGAUGUGGAUAGGUGCUACUUUGAAGAAAGAUUUCAGGUAAGCUAAUUUACAGUAG